UGCAGCUGCGUCAAAUUCAGUCCUUGGCCAGCCAGUGCUGGGGACUGGCCAAAAAGCUGCCACAGCAAAAUCUGUAGCUCCCGAGCCCCACUGUCCCUCUCCCAUGACCCUGGGGAUAAAUAAAUGCUCCAGACACCG
ensembl:snoRNA